GGGAGUUUAGCUCAGCUGGUAGAGCGCAGGUCUCCAAAACCUGAUGCCAGGGGUUCAAAUCCUCUAACUCCCG
rnacentral:tRNA from 1 species